GAUGAACGCUAGCGGCAGGCCUAACACAUGCAAGUCGAGGGGUAGAAGGAGCUUGCUCCUUUGAGACCGGCGCACGGGUGCGUAACGCGUAUGCAAUCUACCUUUUACAGAGGGAUAGCCCAGAGAAAUUUGGAUUAAUACCUCAUAGUAUAUAUCAUUCGCAUGUUUGGUAUAUUAAAGUUCCAACGGUAAAAGAUGAGCAUGCGUCCCAUUAGUUAGUUGGUAAGGUAACGGCUUACCAAGACGAUGAUGGGUAGGGGUCCUGAGAGGGAGAUCCCCCACACUGGUACUGAGACACGGACCAGACUCCUACGGGAGGCAGCAGUGAGGAAUAUUGGUCAAUGGACGCAAGUCUGAACCAGCCAUGCCGCGUGCAGGAAGACGGUCCUAUGGAUUGUAAACUGCUUUUGUACGGGAAGAAACACUCCUACGUGUAGGAGCCUGACGGUACCGUAAGAAUAAGGGUCGGCUAACUCCGUGCCAGCAGCCGCCGUAACAC
rnacentral:rRNA from 1 species